rnacentral:rRNA from 1 species
GGACUGCAGGCUGCAACCCGCCUGCACGAAGUUGGAAUUGCUAGUAAUCGUGGAUCAGCAUGCCACGGUGAAUACGUUCCCGGGUCUUGUACACACCGCCCGUCACACCAUGGGAGUCGGUAACACCCGAAGCCAGUAGUCUAACCGCAAGGAGGACGCUGCCGAAGGUGGGAUUGACGACUGGGGUGAAGUCGUAACAAGGUAAC